rnacentral:rRNA from 1 species
GACGAACGCUGGCGGCGUGCUUAACACAUGCAAGUCGAACGCUGAAGCCCUUUCGGGGGUGGAUGAGUGGCGAACGGGUGAGUAACACGUGGGUAAUCUGCCCUGCACUCUGGGAUAAGCCUUGGAAACGGGGUCUAAUACCGGUUAGGACACAUCGCCGCAGGGUGUGUGAGUGGUAAGUUCCGGCGGUGCAGGUUGAGACCGCGGCCUAUCAGCUUGUUGGUGGGGUGAUGGCCUACCAAGGCGACGACGGGUAGCCGGCCUGAGAGGGGGACCGGCCACACUGGGACUGAGACACGGCCCAGACUCCUACGGGAGGCAGCAGUGGGGAAUCUUGCGCAAUGGGCGAAAGCCUGACGCAGCAACGCCGCGUGGGGGAUGACGGCCUUCGGGUUGUAAACCUCUUUCGACCGGGACGAAGGGUGACUGACGGUACCGGUAGAAGAAGCACCGGCUAACUACGUGCCAGCCGCCGCAGUAA